rnacentral:rRNA from 1 species
ACCGGCGCACGGGUGCGUAACGCGUAUGCAAUCUACCUUAUACAGGGGGAUAGCCCAGAGAAAUUUGGAUUAAUACCCCAUAGUAUCUUCGAAUGGCAUCAUUUGAUUAUUAAAGUUCCAACGGUAUAAGAUGAGCAUGCGUCCCAUUAGCUAGAUGGUAAGGUAACGGCUUACCAUGGCAACGAUGGGUAGGGGUCCUGAGAGGGAGAUCCCCCACACUGGUACUGAGACACGGACCAGACUCCUACGGGAGGCAGCAGUGAGGAAUAUUGGUCAAUGGGCGCAAGCCUGAACCAGCCAUGCCGCGUGCAGGAUGACGGUCCUAUGGAUUGUAAACUGCUUUUGUACAGGAAGAAACACUCCCUCGUGAGGGAGCUUGACGGUACUGUAAGAAUAAGGAUCGGCUAACUCCGUGCCAGCAGCCGCGGUAAUACGGAGGAUCCAAGCGUUAUCCGGAAUCAUUGGGUUUAAAGGGUCCGUAGGCGGUUUUAUAAGUCAGUGGUGAAAUCUGGUCGCUCAACGAUCAAACGGCCAUUGAUACUGUAGAACUUGAAUUACUUGGAAGUAACUAGAAUAUGUAGUGUAGCGGUGAAAUGCUUAGAGAUUACAUGGAAUACCAAUUGCGAAGGCAGGUUACUACGAGUUAAUUGACGCUGAUGGACGAAAGCGUGGGGAGCGAACAGGAUUAGAUACCCUGGUA